rnacentral:lncRNA from 1 species
GUGGAAGGAAGUGCACUUACUGACAAGUGCCAAACAGGUUUGGGUCAGGCUCGUGACGUUAAACAAACGCUACUAGGAGGCAACCUAGAUUUCUUCUUACACUUUUGCAUUUUAAAUUCCUAGAAUAGGUUGAAUUUUUAUUUUAGUGUGUACUCUUGGCUUUAAUUCUUGUUUUGAAAAUGUUUGACUAACUGAUGUGCAUGAUGGAUCUAUUUGAUGAUUAUUUGAUGUGGAUGAGAAUUGAGUUGCAAUGCAUGUUGAUAUUCUGUGAAAUAGAUGUGUAAUAAAUUAUGAUUGUGGUCAUGAUGUUAGGCAGGAUGUAUGAAUGAAUUUUUUAUGAGAAAGCAUGUGUGUGAGAUUUUGAGCUCUAGAGUUUUUAUUGACGUAUGCAGUGUUCACAGGAAAACAUGGAUGAUAUUGCCUUAAUCUUGAUGAUCGAUUGAAUUGCAUAUGAAUGUCAUAUGAUCAAGGCCAUUUUUGAAAACCCUUCUCUAGCCAAAUUUUCACCCAAAGUUCUUGAAAAUAUUUUACCCUUUUUGAACCUUAGCCUUAAACAGUAUGUGAACCCUUGUUUUGAAAUUCUUUACCUUGAGUUGGGAUGAGCUUAAUUGUAUGUGAUGAAAAGGUUCAAGUUUGGGGUUGUACGGAAGAAAAUUGAAAAAGCAAGUGAAAAGCAUUGAGCUCAAAUGUUGUGAAAAGAAAAAAAAAAUUCAUGAGAAAAAGAAAAGAAAAGAAGAAAAGCAUGAAGAUGAGCUCAAUGAAAAAGAAAAAAAAAGGGAAGAAGUUGGGAAUGAGAGACAUUGGUGAGAGAGUUGUGCUUAACUGUUGAAUAUUUUGAUAGCUCUCUUGACUCAAGGAUUUUGCAUUCUAGAAAAAACAAUUUUUCUUGUUAGCCCAACCUCAUUACAAGCCUUGAAAAAGUCCUUCUGAUGACAUUUGCAUGUAAAGAUGUUGAUUGUUUGAG